AAGCGUGUAGGUGUGUGUUCCAGGUAAAUCCGGUUCACUUUAACACUGAGGCGUGACGACGAGGCACUACGGUGCUGAAGCAACAAAUGCCCUGCUUCCAGGAAAAGCCUCUAAGCAUCAGGUAACAUCAAAUCGUACCCCAAACCGACACAGGUGGUCAGGUAGAGAAUACCAAGGCGCUUGAGAGAACUCGGGUGAAGGAACUAGGCAAAAUGGUGCCGUAACUUCGGGAGAAGGCACGCUGACACGUAGGUGAAGUGAUUUACUCAUGGAGCUGAAGUCAGUCGAAGAUACCAGCUGGCUGCAACUGUUUAUUAAAAACACAGCACUGUGCAAACACGAAAGUGGACGUAUACGGUGUGACGCCUGCCCGGUGCCGGAAGGUUAAUUGAUGGGGUCAGCGCAAGCGAAGCUCCUGAUCGAAGCCCCGGUAAACGGCGGCCGUAACUAUAACGGUCCUAAGGUAGCGAAAUUCCUUGUCGGGUAAGUUCCGACCUGCACGAAUGGCGUAAUGAUGGCCAGGCUGUCUCCACCCGAGACUCAGUGAAAUUGAACUCGCUGUGAAGAUGCAGUGUACCCGCGGCAAGACGGAAAGACCCCGUGAACCUUUACUAUAGCUUGACACUGAACAUUGAGCCUUGAUGUGUAGGAUAGGUGGGAGGCUUUGAAGCGUGGACGCCAGUCUGCGUGGAGCCGACCUUGAAAUACCACCCUUUAAUGUUUGAUGUUCUAACGUGGACCCGUUACCCGGGUUGCGGACAGUGUCUGGUGGGUAGUUUGACUGGGGCGGUCUCCUCCUAAAGAGUAACGGAGGAGCACGAAGGUUGGCUAAUCCUGGUCGGACAUCAGGAGGUUAGUGCAAUGGCAUAAGCCAGCUUGACUGCGAGCGUGACGGCGCGAGCAGGUGCGAAAGCAGGUCAUAGUGAUCCGGUGGUUCUGAAUGGAAGGGCCAUCGCUCAACGGAUAAAAGGUACUCCGGGGAUAACAGGCUGAUACCGCCCAAGAGUUCAUAUCGACGGCGGUGUUUGGCACCUCGAUGUCGGCUCAUCACAUCCUGGGGCUGAAGUAGGUCCCAAGGGUAUGGCUGUUCGCCAUUUAAAGUGGUACGCGAGCUGGGUUUAGAACGUCGUGAGACAGUUCGGUCCCUAUCUGCCGUGGGCGCUGGAGAACUGAGGGGGGCUGCUCCUAGUACGAGAGGACCGGAGUGGACGCAUCACUGGUGUUCGGGUUGUCAUGCCAAUGGCACUGCCCGGUAGCUAAAUGCGGAAGAGAUAAGUGCUGAAAGCAUCUAAGCACGAAACUUGCCCCGA
rnacentral:rRNA from 1 species